GUGCUUGCUUCGGCAGCACAUAUACUAAAAUUGGAACGAUACAGUGAUUAGCAUGGCCCCUGCGCAAGGAUGACAUGAAAAUUCAUGAAGCAUUCCAUAUUUUU
ensembl:snRNA U6 U6 spliceosomal RNA